rnacentral:rRNA from 1 species
UGGAGCAGAUCUCAAAAAAGACGGUCCCAGUUCGGAUUGUGGGCUGCAACCCGCCCACAUGAAGUCGGAGUUGCUAGUAAUCGUGGAUCAGCAUGCCGCGGUGAAUGCGUUCCCGGGCCUUGUACACACCGCCCGUCACACCAUGAGAGUCGAUAACACCCGAAGCCUGUAGUCUAACAGCAAUGAGGACGCAGUCGAAGGUGGGAUUGAUAAUUAGGGUGAAGUCGUAACAAGGUACC